rnacentral:rRNA from 1 species
AUUGAACGCUGGCGGCAGGCCUAACACAUGCAAGUCGAGCGGAGCGGCGGACGGGUGAGUAAUGCCUAGGAAUCUGCCUGGUAGUGGGGGAUAACGUCCGGAAACGGGCGCUAAUACCGCAUACUAUCAAAUGAGCCUAGGUCGGAUUAGCUAGUUGGUGGGGUAAAGGCCUACCAAGGCGACGAUCCGGAACUGGGCUGAGAGGAUGAUCAGUCACACUGGAACUGAGACACGGUCCAGACUCGUACGGGAGGAAGCAGUGGGGAAGAUUUGACAAUGGGCGAAAGCAUGAUCCAGCCAUGCCGCGUGUGUGAAGAAGGUCUUCGGAUUGUAAAGCACUUGAAGUUGGGAGGCGUUACCAACAGAAUAAGCACCGGCUAACUUCGUGCCAGCAGCCGCGGUAAUUC